UUUGCCGCAAUGGUCCAGGAUCCAAAAGGACUGUUUUUAAGGGAUAACCGAGUUCUUUUCUUGUUGUUUUUUAGCCUCGAAUGGCUGAGCUUUUGGCCAUAAGAGAAGUUCUUUCUUCGCUGAAAUCUAUGAAUUUUGACAGUAUACUUGUUGAGUUCGAUUACAAGGAAGCAGCUCAUGCUUUAACCUCUUCAAAUGUUGAUCGCUCGGAUUUUGCUGUGCAGGUACACAAUUGUUUAAUGCCGAAGUCCUAAUUCGAGAAAUUGUCCUUCCUUCCUUUGGAAACCCCGACAUGCGAUUUAUGCUCUAGCUUAGGCUGCCCUAUUAUAUGCAAAUCAUUUCACUUGGGAUAUCCUCUCUCCUAUUUUAGAUAUUCAUGCUACAAAUGUUGUCCGAAGACUUCGAGGCACUCAGGAACGGGGUAUAGGGUAAGCCUGUCGGCUUCGAGUUUAGUUCUCCCUCGAUCUUGUUGGUUCUUUUGGUGGUCUUUCUGUUCUAUUUUUUUUAAUGAAGUCUUGCAUUUAAAAAUUAAAUAAAUAAGGGUGUGCUUGGAUAUUAGUGCAAAUUGCUUUAAAGUGUAAUUAUGAUGGUAGUAAUUACAUCCUCGAUUCGAAA
rnacentral:lncRNA from 1 species